rnacentral:rRNA from 1 species
UACGUAGGGGGCAAGCGUUGUCCGGAUUUAUUGGGCGUAAGAGCGUGUAGGCGGCUUUGCAAGUCCGUUGUGAAAACUCGAGGCUCAACCUCGAGACGCCGGUGGAAACUGCAAAGCUAGAGUCCGGAAGAGGAGAGUGGAAUUCCUGGUGUAGCGGCGAAAUGCGCAGAUAUCAGGAAGAACACCCGUGGCGAAGGCGGCUCUCUGGGACGGUACUGACGCUGAGACGCGAAAGCGUGGGGAGCGAACAGG